GGCGGAGCCGUCUUCUACCCAUCCCUCCCCCCCCUCCUCCACCCCUGCCCCCUCCCUCCGGCGAGUUCGCCGGCGUUUCUCUGGUCACAAAUCACAGUUCUGUUGUCUUCUCACUACCGUUUUUGCGCUCAUAUUUUUUGCUUUUGGCUGCAAUGUUUCACGGAGAAGAGGGCAGAGGCGAGGAGGGUUCCGAGAUGCGUCUUCGACGGUGAGAUUUAUGGAAUGGCUGUCUGCAGAGCCAAGGCUUGUUAGCGGCGGCGCAGUUUGUUCGCAUCAGGUGGAGUUUAUGGGUCGCAUAAAUGUUGGAUCAGACCAGGAGGAUUGUGGGGUGCAUUAUGACUCUGCUUACUGUUAUUUUGCCUCUGACCAGUGUACAAAUUUUAUGGUAUAUGAUGUUUGGUCUUCACUUCAAGCUGUAUCAUUGGAGAAAUAGGAGGCUGGGAGUACCGGUCCAAGUUGCAGCUUGAUUACUGCUGAGAAUUCUCACCUCUGAAUCCUUGUCCUUGUCCUUCUGCAGCUUCCAAACAUCAAACUGGUCAGUCAGUUGCUUCCCCGCCCUCUCCUUAGUAAAUUUUGUAAGAGUGGGCACACUUGCGUUUCUUUUGGCCUUGGCACAAUCCUACCAGGCACCGUGCUUUCUGUAGGAUGUGCAAAUUGUUUGCCCAGUUUCGGGACAUUCUUUACCUGAAAAUAAUAGUAAUAGUGAUGUUAAUGGGAAUUGGUUUGGUUCAGGUACUUUUGGUGUUGCAAGUUUGCAACACUGAACCUCAACUCACCAGCUGCCUAAACUGAAGUCUGUAGAAGAUCUGCAUGUAGCACAUUUUGGCCUGUCUCUCUUCGUUGUUCAGAGUCCUCCAGAAGCCACACAUUGAUCCCAUGUUCAGAACUUUAGUUGCAUAAAUCUGUCAUGUGUAACUACAAUUGUAGACAAGGAUGGUUUCAUUAAUUUAACAUGGAAAAAACAUGAUGUGUCCAGCUGUGCUUUAAGCAUGUUACAAGUUUAUUUGGAUUUCUUGGAUGAGGAUUGUAUUUAUAGAUAUAUUUUUUAGAAGAGAGAAGGGUGACAUAAGUAACUUUAGCACUCAUAGAUUCGUUGGAGUCCAGCAGUGGACAUUUUGUUCCAGUAGGUGGGGUCCUCCUUGCAUUUCUGAAUGAAACCUGCAAUCUAGUCACUUGCCUCCUUGCCGUUGAGUGGAUUGAUAUGGAAACCCAAGAAAUCGUCGACAAUGAUUGAUAUGGAAGCCCGCAGUUCAUUGCCUCGAUGACUGUUAAUCUGAAUGCUUCACAGAGUGAAGAUAUUUGCUGAGGAGGCUGGGGAAAGCAAGGUUUGGACACAAAGGGCAAAGAUAACUGCAAGGGGGAAAAACCUUGAUGCAUGUGGUUGCUGGUCAUUCAUGUUUGUAUCCAAGCUCUUCAUGAACCUUUUGUUCCUCUCUGAUCGCUCGUUAUAUGAAUUUGGGUUGGUUUGUUUGGCCGAUUUUGGUUGGAUCUGUUGAUAUGAUUUUUAGUUGCAGCUGCAUUUAGAAUUUUGUUUCCAUUGUGUAGGUUAACUGGUUAUCUUGCUCAUUUUCUUUACUGUUUUGCUAUACACCAGUCGCUUGGUUUUUUGUUGGAAAGCAGGUGAUCGUGUGACUGCUCGAUCCUUCUUUGAGAUUCCCGCUUGGUCUGACAGAUUUUGCCUUUUGCUUUUCUUUCUCUGUGUCCGACCGCUCCAAUGCUCAACCCGCACCGAGCUGUCGUCUUCCUCGCGAAACGCUCGAGAGAAAAGGUGGGGGAGGGCUCCGAGGCGAUUUUGACUUCGGCACCGCCGGUGGAGUUUCAGCCGCGCCGCCGCUCCUCUCGAGAAACAUCGGAAAUGGCGUGGGGUGUGUUGGAUCCGUCCUCGUCGGGGCGAGCCCUUGUCUGUUUCCCUCGUGCUUCUGUGGAAUGUAAGCUAGCUCUAAGCUCUUCUAUGUGUCGGUGCAUCAUGUCUGAUAUCGACACUGGGCCGAUGGCUUUGAUGAUGAUGGAUUCAGUUCAGAAUCCAAUUCUGAAUAGUCUAAUUUUGUUCCUGAUAAUUGGCACGGACCUGUAAAUGCUGGCGGUCCGACUGCAGCUGAUGCAGUGAGUUUCUUUCUAGUUCGGCAGGAUCUUAUUGUAAUAUGCUUUCCGUUCUAUUUAAUCAAGACCAAUGGGCUUAUGUGUAUUUUUCUGAACCGUAUAUAACUUCUACAGAACUUCUAUUUAGGUUCAGAAUUAGUUUUACAUUUAGUUGUAGUUUUAUUCUGCCAUCCUUAGUUAGUUGUCGCUGCAAUUCUGCAAUCUAUCCAAUCCCUUUUUGUGCUAUUCAAAUGCAAUCCCCAAUGCAAUUUUGCCCAAGAUGUUAGAUUCCCUUGGGAAUCCAGCACACACCAAGCAGAUGAUAAUCUGUUCUCUCUAGAUAGAUUCUUUGAACUAAUUGAGACAGUUCUAGCCUGGGCCUGUUUCCUCUUUGUUACUUGAUAUUUUUUGUUUCAUCUCUCAAAUUGGAUGUAGUUAAAUAUUCGCGAGUGUCUUAUCAAAUGCAAUUGUAUGUAGUUGCAAUCGAGGUUCUUAUGAAGUGCAAUUGCAGUUGCCCAAUACUGGAAUUGCACUUUCUGUCUUCUUCCAGGUUUUUACAGCAAAUCUGCCCCUUUUCGUUUCUUUAACUCAAUUGCAGGUAGUUUCAUGUGGGCAAGUCAAUGGCUUACAAAUUGAAAUCAAAUUUGUUGUAUUCUGGAGUUGUGCACCUGUUUGUUUGUUCUUCUUUUUUGUCGAUUCUGGUCUUUUAGCAGCUGUCUUGAUGAGUCACAAAGUGCAAUUUUCUUGCAGAUUUUAAUGAACUGAAAAUAUGUCCCCUUAUGUUGUCCUAACUCAAUUGUUGUUUUGCUAUACACUAGGCCCCUGUUUUGUCUGAAUCUGUCAUAGGCCCAAAUUGCAUUUUCUGUAUAUCAAGGCAUUGAGCUCAUUACAUGGAAUUUUGUCACCCAGCUAGUCUAGUGUUGACGAUAGGUACAAAUUGCACUUUUGUUGGUUUUAAUCAUAAAAAAUAUGCCCCAUUAUGACCUUUUAACUCAGUUGCACUUAGUUCACUAUGCGCAAUCGGGUGUCAUACGAAAUGCAGUCGCAUGUGUUUGUGACUGGAAUUGCAAAUCCAGUAAUUUGGCGUCCUCUUUAUUUGUCGAUUCUUUGUUGUUGUCCAGAGGAUGAAAGUAUUUCUGGUUUCUUUUGUCUGAAUCUGUCCCAUUUUGCAUGGAAUUUGUCACUUAGCUAGUCUAGCGUUGAUGAUAGGGGUACAAAGUGUACCUUUCCAGGAUUUUAUCAACAAAUUAUUUGCCCCAUUGUGAUCUUUUUGACUCAACUGCAUGCAGUUUACUAUGCGCAAUCGGAGGUCAUACGAAAUGCAAUUGCAUGUGUUUGUGACUGGAAUUGCAAAUCUAGUAAUUUGGCGUCCUCUUUUUUUGUCUGAAUCUAUCACUCAGUAGUGUUGCUGUGUUUAUUCAAAGAGCAUAAAUUUGGUUAUGUGUCUCUCGUUAAACGAACAGGCCAUUGUUCUCUGCUAGUCUUUUGAAUCUUUAUGUGCCUGAUUUGCAUCAAACUAGCAGGCGACUGAUUUCUUUUGAUUUUAUUUCGUCUUUCAAACCAGGCGACUGGUUUGUUUUCACAAAGCAGGCGCCUGUUUCGGUAUCUAAAAACAGGCGGCUGCUACAUAGACAGACCCCUAUGGAAAAUGGGACCUAAUCAGGACAAAUUUAGUCUACGCGUUGGCAUGAUAUGGUACAAUCAACACAAAAUCGUACCAGGACAAGCCGAGAAGCUGCUAAAAAGGAAUGUGUCAUCGAAAAUGCUUCACUGUGCUGCACUAACCGAAAUCUUGGGAGCUCUGAUGCACCGCCAAGAAGGUCCGACUCCGAUCCUGAACUCCCUCCCUGCCCCUCCUUAUGCGUUGCACGUUUACAUGGCAUGGAACCACAAUUCUGCUCGACGUGCUCCAUGAGCAGUGUGUGAGUUGGGCUUCUACUUCCUUUGUAAAGUUGGUCAACCGCAACGAUCGAGUGCAAGGGAGUUGUCAAAACAGUGCAAUGCUCACAAGCAUACCCGAAACUAACUGUGUUUAGAUGUACCGCUUGCCGGUAAGGAUCGGAAGGACUUCGCUACGGCGUCGAUGCUCGUCUUCUGGUCCAUAGGAAUAGAGUGAUUUUUUUAUCAUGCAGUGGUUAAUGUAGUACAGUUGUUGGGCUACAUAGGUGCCGAGGCUACACAGCUUGGGCUAGGGCCGGGCUCUUUAGAGGUCAGGUCUUUGCAGAGUGGAGGGAUAACGGGUAGUUGAUUUGUAAUCGUCCUCGGGGCUUGUAGCCGCAUCACAUCAACUCCUUUUAAUCAAUGAUACACCUGCACGGAUGUAUUUAGAAGAAGAAAAAAGUGCAUUUAGAUGAUAUAUAUAUGCUACCCAUUUGUAUGUACGCAUAAUUUUUUUUAUGUGAAUAAGACCAUAAGGAAUAUUUGAUGGUCAUCAAAUAAGACCAUAAGAGAAAGUUUUGUUGUA